AUUGAACGCUGGCGGCAGGCCUAACACAUGCAAGUCGGGCGGAGCGGCGGACGGGUGAGUAAUGUAUGGGGAACUGCCCGAUGGAGGGGGAUAACGUCCGGAAACGGGAGCUAAUACCGCAUACUAUCAGAUGAGCCUAGGUCGGAUUAGCUAGGUGGUGGGGUAAAGGCCUACCAAGGCGAGGAUCCGUAACUGGUCUGAGAGGAUGAUCAGUCACACUGGAACUGAGACACGGUCCAGACUCCGACGUGAGGCAGCAGUGGGGAAUAUUGGACAAUGGGCGAAAGCCUGAUCCAGCCAUGCCGCGUGUGUGAAGAAGGUCUUCGGAUUGUAAAGCACUUUAAGUUGGGAGGCGUUACCAACAGAAUAAGCACCGGCUAACUUCGUGCCAGCAGCCGCGGUAAUUC
rnacentral:rRNA from 1 species